GGACAUGGCAUGGAACGUGUGUGCGGAAAAGUUCGAACAUCAAGUGACCCUUGAAGCGCUACAACACUUAAAUGCACUCUUUCAGGAGUAUGAGAAAAGAGGAAGACAGCUGUUGGAUAUGGAGACUUUCAAAUGCAUAAUGAAGCAGAGCAUGAGGUUACAGAAUAAAAGUACUGAACAAAUAGAACAACUUUUCAUGAAAAUAGACUAUGAAGCAGUGGGCAGAAUUCAUUGGGAUGGCUUCUGCACAUAUCUGCAGUUAGCAUAUUCAGAGCAAGCUGAUGCUUUGGCUCGACAGAAAGAGGUUUCCUUCCAGCUGCCUGCUGUGCUGCAGGGACUGUCGUACGGGGGACCCGUGCUGCGCAUUCUCUCUGUGCCUGAUGACACCUUAAUCAUGAUCAGAGAAGAUGGAGCCAUUUAUUUCUGGUCCCUGCAGCUGAAGUUGAAAAGAAGAAAGCGAGUUUUUGACAAGCCCAUCAUUCGGAAGCGCCGGUGGGUGACGGAUGCCACCAGCAUGCCACAGUACAACAAACUGAUCCUAGGAACUGGAAACCGCGAAAUCCAGCUGUAUGAGUUCUCUAACUUGGAGCCUUACUGUCAGAUUGGUGGCCUGGAAGCUGUCCCUCUGAAACUGGACUACUGGUACGAGGAUCCUGACAAGUGCCUGAUUCUCUAUGGUGAUGACCAGGCUGAAAAAAAAACUUAAAAUGAAGGUUGCCUUAAAGAGUUCAUGUUGCCAUCUAGCAAAGUGAUGAGUUGUGCUCCAGAGGGAAAUAAGUUCAGAAGCAUUGGCUGUGCCUGUCUCACCUAACAUCGCCUCACCAUCCUUCAUCGGCUUUCAGAGUCUUCACGGUUUGGAAUCAGGGAUGAGCAUAAGGGAAGCUACAUUGGCAACAUGGCGACAAAAGCAAGGGAAACUCAGUUCAUCAUCAUCAUAUCACAAAGGCUGUCUCCACGAGCGACUUUCCUUGGGCUUCUUCUUUUGUUGCAUCUAGCCCAGGCUUGUGCACUUGAAGAUCAUUUGAUAAUAUUCAUCAGUGUUAUGUUCAGCAUGCUAACCGGUUUCUUAAGAAGGGCAGUA
rnacentral:lncRNA from 1 species